rnacentral:lncRNA from 1 species
GCAAACUGCUUUCUCCAAACGAGAGGGGCAGAUUGAGAGAGAGUGCCAAGAAGUUAAACCCUUCAUCCCAGGCAUCUGGGUUUGCAACUACUCUUCCAAACCCACGAGGAAGAAGAGAAACAUUUUCCUAAUUGUCCCCUAAUUUGGAAGUCUGCUUCUCUCUCAGUGGAGUUUGUCCUGCACAUUAUUACUGUGUGAGCAGAAAAGAAUUGCUCUGAAUCGAGUCACUAAGACUUGGGAGAAUGAAGGGGCAGCCAACAGCAGUUGCAGUAGAGGAUUCGGAUCAAGUUAACCAGAGGUCCCCAAUGUUGCAAUGUGAGCCACUCUCCAUCCCACAUGCUGCCCAUUCCCACAGCCUGGCAGCCAUGAUUAAACAAUCGCAGCACACUUUCCCACCAAGCCGGCUACUCCCUCACAAGCCUUCUUGGUCCAUCACUCUGGGCAGCCACUACAGCUUGCACAAAGCUGACAACUGUGAUGAAACCUAUUUCCUAUCCUUGGUGUAAGGGGUAGUAUGCUGGAUUCUGGUUUCAAUCCUGCCAUUGACUCACUAGGCUAUCUGGGGCUUGGGCAAGGCUGUUUACCUCUGUAGGUCUGUUCUCUCAUCUGUUAAAUGAGGUUGUUGGGUAGGUGAUUAAUCGGUUUCGAAGCUCAUGUCAAGGCUAAGUGAGUGGAGUGAUGAUUUGGGUGAGGAGGGCUGGAAAAGAACAGAAAAGGAGGGGAUCCCAGUGGGUCCAUGUCCCUGAGAGGGUCCCUAAGUUAGUAGAAUUCAUGCCAAAGCUGACGGCCACAUUUAGAUAAGCAGAAGGGCAUUCCAAGCAGGUACAAUCAGCAAAGGCGUGGAGGUGAGAGUGUACUGAACAGGGAGAGGGGCCGUAAAUUAACAAUAAUUUCAUAAAUUCCUGUGCUGGAUGCAUGCAUUCACUCCAUGAACCUUCCUGCGUCCUCCGAG